GCACAAGCAGCGGAGCGUGUGGUUUAAUUCGAUGAUACACGAAGAACCUUACCCAGGCUUGACAUGUAGGUGGUAGGGAUCCGAAAGGUGACCGACCUUCGGGAGCCUGCACAGGUGCUGCAUGGCUGUCGUCAGCUCGUGUCGUGAGAUGUCCGGUUAAGUCCGGUAACGAGCGCAACCCUCGCUGUAUGUUAUAUGUGUCAUACGGGACUGCCGGUAUCAAGUCGGAGGAAGGUGGGAUGACGUCAAGUCAGCAUGGCCUUUAUGUCUGGGGCUACACACACGCUACAAUGGCCAGUACAAUAGGUUGCAAAACCGCGAGGUGGAGCCAAUCCUAAAAGCUGGUCUCAGUUCGGAUUGCAGGCUGCAACUCGCCUGCAUGAAGUCGGAGUUGCUAGUAACCGCAGGUCAGCUAUACUGCGGUGAAUACGUUCCCGGGCCUU
rnacentral:rRNA from 1 species